rnacentral:rRNA from 1 species
CAGCCGCCGCGGUAAUACGAGGGGGGCAAGCGUUGUUCGGAAUUAUUGGGCGUAAAGGGUGCGUAGGCGGUUUGGCAAGUUUGGUGUGAAAUCUUCGGGCUCAACUCGAAGUCUGCAUCGAAAACUGCCGGGCUUGAGUAUGGGAGAGGUGAGUGGAAUUUCCGGUGUAGCGGUGAAAUGCGUAGAUAUCGGAAGGAACACCUGUGGCGAAAGCGGCUCACUGGACCAUAACUGACGCUGAUGCACGAAAGCUAGGGGAGCAAACAGGAUUAGAUACCCCCGUAGUCCCUGUCUCUUAUAC